GCGAAUGUAGUUUAGUGGUAAAACAGCAGCUUCCCAAGCUGCGGUUGUGGGUUCGAUUCCCAUCAUUCGCUCCA
rnacentral:tRNA from 1 species